rnacentral:rRNA from 1 species
CCUACGGGAGGCAGCAGUGGGGAAUAUUGGACAAUGGGGGGAACCCUGAUCCAGCCAUGCCGCGUGUGUGAAGAAGGCCCUCGGGUUGUAAAGCACUUUCAGUGAGGAAGAACGCCUGGUGGUUAAUACCCAUCAGGAAAGACAUCACUCACAGAAGAAGCACCGGCUAACUCCGUGCCAGCAGCCGCGGUAAUACGGAGGGUGCGAGCGUUAAUCGGAAUUACUGGGCGUAAAGCGCGCGUAGGUGGCUUGAUAAGCCGGUUGUGAAAGCCCCGGGCUCAACCUGGGAACGGCAUCCGGAACUGUCAAGCUAGAGUGCAGGGGAGGAAGGUAGAAUUCCCGGUGUAGCGGUGAAAUGCGUAGAGAUCGGGAGGAAUACCAGUGGCGAAGGCGGCCUUCUGGACUGACACUGACACUGAGGUGCGAAAGCGUGGGUAGCAAACAGGAUUAGAUACCCGAGUAGUC